rnacentral:ncRNA from 1 species
UCCCCUAUUUUUCGUUCGGUUUUUUCACGGCUUCACAUCUGCACAACCCUUGGCACUUCCUUCCUUUAGCCAAGCAUAUUACACGCGGUUUAGCCGCCAAAGGAGAGUUAUAUG